UACGAAGGGGGCUAGCGUUGUUCGGAAUUACUGGGCGUAAAGCGUAUGCAGGCGGACUUUUAAGUCGGGGGUGAAAUCCCGAGGCUCAACCUCGGAACUGCCUCCGAUACUGGCAGUCUCGAGUGCGGGAGAGGUGAGUGGAAUUCCCAGUGUAGAGGUGAAAUUCGUAGAUAUUGGGAAGAACACCAGUGGCGAAGGCGGCUCACUGGCCCGUAACUGACGCUGAGGUGCGAAAGCGUGGGGAGCAAACAGGG
rnacentral:rRNA from 1 species